GUGAGAAAUGAGAGCUUGCUCUCUGGGUGGCGAGUGGCGGACGGGUGAGGAAUACAUCGGAAUCUACUUUUUCGUGGGGGAUAACGUAGGGAAACUUACGCUAAUACCGCAUACGACCUACGGGUGAAAGCAGGGGAUCUUCGGACCUUGCGCGAUUGAAUGAGCCGAUGUCGGAUUAGCUAGUUGGCGGGGUAAAGGCCCACCAAGGCGACGAUCCGUAGCUGGUCUGAGAGGAUGAUCAGCCACACUGGAACUGAGACACGGUCCAGACUCCUACGGGAGGCAGCAGUGGGGAAUAUUGGACAAUGGGCGCAAGCCUGAUCCAGCCAUACCGCGUGGGUGAAGAAGGCCUUCGGGUUGUAAAGCCCUUUUGUUGGGAAAGAAAUCCAGCUGGUUAAUACCCGGUUGGGAUGACGGUACCCAAAGAAUAAGCACCGGCUAACUUCGUGCCAGCAGCCGCGGUAAUACGAAGGGUGCAAGCGUUACUCGGAAUUACUGGGCGUAAAGCGUGCGUAGGUGGUCGUUUAAGUCCGUUGUGAAAGCCCUGGGCUCAACCUGGGAACUGCAGUGGAUACUGGGCGACUAGAAUGUGGUAGAGGGUAGCGGAAUUCCUGGUGUAGCAGUGAAAUGCGUAGAGAUCAGGAGGAACA
rnacentral:rRNA from 1 species